rnacentral:rRNA from 1 species
UGAUCCUGGCUCAGGAUGAACGCUAGCGGCAGGCUUAACACAUGCAAGUCGAGGGGUAACAUUGUAGCUUGCUACAGAUGACGACCGGCGCACGGGUGCGUAACGCGUAUAGAACUUACCUUUUACAGAGGGAUAGCCUUUAGAAAUGAAGAUUAAUACCUCAUAGUAUUAUUGAUUGGCAUCAAUUAAUAAUUAAAGGUUUAUCGGUAAAAGAUGGCUAUGCGUCCUAUUAGCUAGAUGGUAAGGUAAUGGCUUACCAUGGCUACGAUAGGUAGGGGCCCUGAGAGGGGGAUCCCCCACACUGGUACUGAGACACGGACCAGACUCCUACGGGAGGCAGCAGUGAGGAAUAUUGGGCAAUGGAGGUAACUCUGACCCAGCCAUGCCGCGUGCAGGAAGACUGCCCUAUGGGUUGUAAACUGCUUUUAUACAGGAAGAAACACUCGUACGUGUACGAGCUUGACGGUACUGUAAGAAUAAGGACCGGCUAACUCCGUGCCAGCAGCCGCGGUAAUACGGAGGGUCCGAGCGUUAUCCGGAAUCAUUGGGUUUAAAGGGUCCGCAGGCGGUCAAUUAAGUCAGAGGUGAAAUCCCAUAGCUUAACUAUGGAACUGCCUUUGAUACUGGUUGACUUGAGUCAUAUGGAAGUAGAUAGAAUGUGUAGUGUAGCGGUGAAAUGCAUAGAUAUUACACAGAAUACCGAUUGCGAAGGCAGUCUACUACGUAUGUACUGACGCUCAUGGACGAAAGCGUGGGGAGCGAACAGGAUUAGAUACCCUGGUAGU